rnacentral:rRNA from 1 species
CCUACGGGAGGCAGCAGUGGGGAAUUUUGGACAAUGGGCGCAAGCCUGAUCCAGCCAUGCCGCGUGCGGGAAGAAGGCCUUCGGGUUGUAAACCGCUUUUGUCAGGGAAGAAAAGGUUCUGGCUAAUACCUGGGACUCAUGACGGUACCUGAAGAAUAAGCACCGGCUAACUACGUGCCAGCAGCCGCGGUAAUACGUAGGGUGCAAGCGUUAAUCGGAAUUACUGGGCGUAAAGCGUGCGCAGGCGGUUAUGCAAGACAGAGGUGAAAUCCCCGGGCUCAACCUGGGAACUGCCUUUGUGACUGCAUAGCUAGAGUACGGUAGAGGGGGAUGGAAUUCCGCGUGUAGCAGUGAAAUGCGUAGAUAUGCGGAGGAACACCGAUGGCGAAGGCAAUCCCCUGGACCUGUACUGACGCUCAUGCACGAAAGCGUGGGGAGCAAACAGGAUUAGAUACCCUGGUAGUCCACGCCCUAAACGAUGUCAACUGGUUGUUGGGAGGGUUUCUUCUCAGUAACGUAGCUAACGCGUGAAGUUGACCGCCUGGGGAGUACGGCCGCAAGGUUGAAAACUCAAAGGAAUUGACGG